rnacentral:rRNA from 1 species
UACGGAGGGUGCAAGCGUUAUCCGGAUUUACUGGGUUUAAAGGGUGUGUAGGCGGGCCUUUAAGUCUGGGGUGAAAUCUCCGAGCUCAACUCGGAAACUGCCCUGGAUACUAUUGGUCUUGAAUUAUGUUGAGGUUGGCGGAAUAUAACAUGUAGCGGUGAAAUGCAUAGAUAUGUUAUAGAACACCGAUUGCGAAGGCAGCUAACUAAGCAUAUAUUGACGCUGAGGCACGAAAAGCGUGGGGGAUCAAACAGG